rnacentral:rRNA from 1 species
CAAGCGAAUAAGCGCACACGGUGGAUGCCUAGGCGGUCAGAGGCGAUGAAGGACGUGGUAGCCUGCGAAAAGUGUCGGGGAGCUGGCAACAAGCUUUGAUCCGGCAAUAUCCGAAUGGGGAAACCCACUGCUUCGGCAGUAUCCUGCAGUGAAUUCAUAGCUGCUGGAAGCGAACCCGGUGAACUGAAAUAUCUAAGUAACCGGAGGAAAAGAAAUCAACCGAGAUUCCCUAAGUAGUGACGAGCGAACGGGGAGCAGCCCUUAAGCUGGAAUGGCUUUAGAAAAACAAUCUGGAAAGAUUGGCCAUAGAAGGUGAUAGCCCUGUAUUUAAAAGGGCCACUCCAGUGAAGACGAGUAGGGCGGGGCACGUGAAACCCUGUCUGAAUAUGGGGGGACCAUCCUCCAAGGCUAAAAUACGUCGGGCCUGGAAC